rnacentral:rRNA from 1 species
GACGAACGCUGGCGGCGUGCCUAAUACAUGCAAGUUGAGCGCUGAAGGUUGGUACUUGUACCGACUGGAUGAGCAGCGAACGGGUGAGUAACGCGUGGGGAAUCUGCCUUUGAGCGGGGGACAACAUUUGGAAACGAAUGCUAAUACCGCAUAAAAACUUUAAACACAAGUUUUAAGUUUGAAAGAUGCAAUUGCAUCACUCAAAGAUGAUCCCGCGUUGUAUUAGCUAGUUGGUGAGGUAAAGGCUCACCAAGGCGAUGAUACAUAGCCGACCUGAGAGGGUGAUCGGCCACAUUGGGACUGGGAAACGGCCCAAACUCCUACGGGGGGCAGCAGUAGGGAAUCUUCGGCAAUGGACGAAAGUCUGGCCGAGCAACGCCGCGUGAGUGAAGAAGGUUUUCGGAUCGUAAAACUCUGUUGGUAGGGAAGAACGUUGGUGAGAGUGGAAAGCUCAUCAAGUGACGGUAACUACCCAGAAAGGGACGGCUAACUACGUG